rnacentral:hammerhead_ribozyme from 1 species
AUGCAGCUGACGAGUCCAAGAUAGGAAGAAAUGCGCGUCCUGGAU